rnacentral:rRNA from 1 species
CAGCCGCCGCGGUAAUACGAAGGGGGCUAGCGUUGUUCGGAAUUACUGGGCGUAAAGCGCACGUAGGCGGAUUUUUAAGUCAGGGGUGAAAUCCCGAGGCUCAACCUCGGAACUGCCUUUGAUACUGGAGAUCUUGAGUUCGGAAGAGGUUGGUGGAACAGCUAGUGUAGAGGUGAAAUUCGUAGAUAUUAGCUAGAACACCAGUGGCGAAGGCGGCCAACUGGUCCGAUACUGACGCUGAGGUGCGAAAGCGUGGGGAGCAAAUGGGAUUAGAUACCCCUGUAGUCCCUGUCUCUUAUAA